rnacentral:rRNA from 1 species
UACGAAGGGGGCUAGCGUUGUUCGGAAUCACUGGGCGUAAAGCGCACGAGGCGGAUUGUUAAGUCAGGGGUGAAAUCCUGGAGCUCAACUCCAGAACUGCCUUUGAUACUGGCGAUCUCGAGUCCGGGAGAGGUGAGUGGAACUGCGAGUGUAGAGGUGAAAUUCGUAGAUAUUCGGCAAGAACACCAGUGGCGAAGGCGGCUCACUGGCCCGGUACUGGACGCUGAGGUGCGAA